GUGAACGCUGGCGGUAGGCCUAACACAUGCCAGUCGAACGGCAGCACAGUAAGAGCUUGCUCUUACGGGUGGCGAGUGGCGGACGGGUGAGGAAUACAUCGGAAUCUACUUUUUCGUGGGGGAUAACGUAGGGAAACUUACGCUAAUACCGCAUACGACCCACGGGUGAAAGCAGGGGAUCUUCGGACCUUGCGCGAUUGAAUGAGCCGAUGUCGGAUUAGCUAGUUGGCGGGGUAAAGGCCCACCAAGGCGACGAUCCGUAGCUGGUCUGAGAGGAUGAUCAGCCACACUGGAACUGAGACACGGUCCAGACUCCUACGGGAGGCAGCAGUGGGGAAUAUUGGACAAUGGGCGCAAGCCUGAUCCAGCCAUACCGCGUGGGUGAAGAAGGCCUUCGGGUUGUAAAGCCCUUUUGUUGGGAAAGAAAAGCAGCAGGUUAAUACCCCGCUGUUCUGACGGUACCCAAAGAAUAAGCACCGGCUAACUUCGUG
rnacentral:rRNA from 1 species